rnacentral:rRNA from 1 species
GAUGAACGCUGGCGGCGUGCCUAAUACAUGCAAGUCGAGCGAACGGACGAGAAGCUUGCUUCUCUGAUGUUAGCGGCGGACGGGUGAGUAACACGUGGAUAACCUACCUAUAAGACUGGGAUAACUUCGGGAAACCGUAGCUAAUACCGGAUAAUAUUUUGAACCGCAUGGUUCAAAAGUGAAAGACGGUCUUGCUGUCACUUAUAGAUGGAUCCGCGCUGCAUUAGCUAGUUGGUAAGGUAACGGCUUACCAAGGCAACGAUGCAUAGCCGACCUGAGAGGGUGAUCGGCCACACUGGAACUGGGACACGGUCCAGACUCCUACGGGAGGCAGCAGUAGGGAAUCUUCCGCAAUGGGCGAAAGCCUGACGGAGCAACGCCGCGUGAGUGAUGAAGGUCUUCGGAUCGUAAAACUCUGUUAUUAGGGAAGAACAUAUGUGUAGGUAACUGUGCACAUCUUGACGGUACCUAAUCAGAAAGCCACGGCUAACUACGUG